GCGGCCUCUGCUCUGGCGGCAGUACGCGGGCCGAGCUCCAGGCACGUGCGGGUAAGUAAAGGCCAAGUGGGCAGAAGCCUUGGACGUUUACUAGUUUGGGGCGAGAGGCAGCUGUGGGGAGGCUUCUUCCCAGGGACAGGACGAAAUUGGGGUUCGUUCCAUCAUAACCCCGUGUUUGGAGGGCAUCUUGAAGAGUCGCUGGGAGAUGGUAGCCCUAGAGUCGCCCCUUGUUUUCUGCCAGCCCUCUUGUCCCUGGAGAGUCUCCUACAGCUGGUCUCCGAGAUCCUCGCUUCCCUGGCGCCAGAGCCCGGAGCUUGGGAAGAUUUGUGAUGAGCACGUGUCCGGGUGGAGCUCGGUCAAGUCCUGCAACCCAGUCCCCUAAAAGGGGCAGGCUGUGUUUAGAUUAGUUUUUAGACCUGGACAAUGAGCCUAUUUUACCUUUUCUCCCAAUGUUUGGGGGUGGUUAAAAGUGAAAUUAAAGGAUGGCUGGAAAAACAUAUGGUCUUAGAUACCCUACUCUUAUUAUGUAAAUAAGGUAAAUUAUAAUUGUGAAUGGGUAGGAAUGUUUACUAACAUUCUUGCAAACACUUGAGUUACUGCUUUCAACAACAGUUGAGGUCGUUGGUAGGAAUGGCAGCAUGUCUCCGUUUCCUUUCAUACCCAUUACUGCAUCUUGUUAUUUUUCUGGAGUACCGCUUUUAUUGUGCUUCAAAAGGUCUCCUAACCACGUUUUCUCCAAUCUAGUUUUAACUAGCCUUUCUGAUUUGCACUGCCCAUUGCUCUACCAAGGUAACAUUUCCCCUUUUACUCCCCCUAUUUAUCAUAUCCUUGUCUGGAAUGUAGCUUUUUAUAACAGCAAGUAUUUAUUGACCACACACUCUAAAACAUAUUAUAUAGGCUUAUAUAAGCUUCUUAAGCCUAACAACCAUCUUUUGUACAGGGUACCAUUGAUAACAUUCCUAUUUGACAGAUGAGGAGACUGAGAGGUAUAGAGAGGUUAAGUUACUUGUUCACUGUUUCGUUUUUUUAUAUUUUUUAAUGUUUAUUUUUGAGAGAGAGGGAGACACAGAAUCUGAAGCAGGGUCCAGGCUCUGAGCUGUCAGCACAGACGCGUGCCGGGGCUUAAACUCACAGUUGUGAGAUCAUGACCUGAGGAGAAGUCAGAUGCUUAACCAAGUGAGCCACCCAUGCACCCCACUUGUUUGUUCACUGUUACAUAGUUGUUAGGUGAUAGCUUAUACUUGUUGACUAGACCAUUAAUAUGCUCCUGUUGAGGGGUUCCUGGCUGGCUCGGUUGUAAGAGCAUACAGUUCUUGAUCUCAGGGUUGUAAAUUUGAGCCCCCCCGCCCCCCGUUAGGUGCAGAUUAUAUAAAACUUAAAUCUUUUCUAGGGUCACCUGGGUGGCUCAGUCAGCUAAGAAUCUGACUCUUGGUUUCUGCUCAGGUCAUGAUCUCACGGUUCAUGAGUUCAGCCCUGCACUGGGCUCCGGGCAGACACUGUGGAGCCUGCUUGGGAUUAUUUUUGCCCCUCCCCAAUUUGUGCUGUCUCUCUCAAGAAAUAAAACUUAAAAAAAUCUUUUAAAAAAAUGCUCCUGGGGCGCCUGGGUGGCACAGUCGGUUAAGCGUCCGACUUCAGCCAGGUCACGAUCUCACUGUCUGUGAGUUCGAGCCCCGCAUCAGGCUCUGGGCUGAUGGCUCAGAGCCUGGAGCCUGUUUCCGAUUCUGUGUCUCCCUCUCUCUCUGCCCCCCCCCCCGUUCAUGCUCUGUCUCUCUCUGUCCCAAAAAUAAAUAAACGUUGAAAAAAAAUUAAAAAAAAAAUGCUCCUGUUGAACUGCUGUGGUACAUAGGUAAAAAACGUGAAAAUAAAGCUAACCAAGGGAAAGGUUUUUGUUUUACUGUCUAUUUCUCUGGCUCUGAAAUAAGUUAUGGGGUUUUGAGGGUAGAGGUCUUGAAAUUUACACAAGUGUUCACUACUGUUAGCUGCCUAACCCAGAGUACUUGGAUUGCAGAGGGGCCAGCCAUGGGCUUUGGAUAGAUGCAGCCCCAGGUGAGUGCAAUUUCAUUAGCCUGCCUUUGGCCCCAGCUGUAGGCAGCUGCCUAGGUUGCUGUGUACCUAGGCAAGUGUUACGCUGCUGGGAGAAUAGCAGCCGUGAUAGCUGGUUGGCAUUCUGGGCCUGGUUCAUUCCAACUCUGUUGUUAACUAUACCAGGAUGCCAGCAUAAUUGUUCAUUCAUUAAGGUGAAAUCUGUAAGGGCAUGACUUUGCAGGGAGAAACCUAAAAAUCCAAAUCUUUCUGAGUGGUUCUGGUUCAACAGGUUUGUCUAGUUGAACUUGCUGGAAACAGAACAAAGGUAAUCAAGCCAUGAAGGGAUGUAGAAGUAUAGGGAGGGGUGCAAUUUUCACUGAAAUCAAAGUGCCUGUCCCCCACUCCACCAUACAAAGCUAGUCUCUCUGAAGGGAAUUCUAUAGCUGCAGUGAUCUAUAGGGAUGCUUUAUUAAGGAAAUGUUACGUGAAUUUGCUUUAAAAUUCUAGGCAUUCUUCUCUAGCUCUUUAAUAAAAUAUAAAAAUACCAAUUGAUUGAGAGGCUCUACAUAGUAGGCCUAGCUAUAACCGUACUAAUUUCUGCUUUAGGCUGACAGUAUAUUUGUGUUGGUUUCCCACAGAGUUGUUGCCCCUUCAGGGCAGUAAAAUAACGAGUCCCUUUUGUAGUGAUUUUGUUUUGGAUUGCUAAUUCUCUGAGAAGAGAUGCUUCUCAGUUCUAGGCAAACACACAGCACUCAUGGUGGUGCUGGAGAUUGUCCAAUAGGAUUGACUUAGUUGCUACUUCUGUGAAAAGUGACAUCCUAGUUUCCAUAGGAGGAACUCCUGAGGAUGUUGGGAGGUGGGGGAGUUAUUUAUAAAAACUAGUUUUGUUCCAACAAUUGGCUUUCCCUAAAAAGAGUUCUCUUAGUUAAAUGUUGAAUUCCUUGUGUGAAUACCUCAGAUGUUCAUUGUGAACAGCCUUUUACAUAUGGGGUUUUAAGAAUACUAGUGAUACCUAGAGGGUUUGGGGGAAUGGUUAGCUUUAUGGUAAUUAUAGGCAAGAAAAAGACAAUAGGAAAUAAAAUAAUUCUGGAGGUAUUGAAAAUAGGGUAAAUCGUAAAUGGCAGGCAGCACUGCUUCCAUUUCUACAGAAAAGAGGUUUUAGGAGCUGCUGUUUUAGUCAACACUGUUUAGUGUUCAACAGUGAAAUCUUUUUCUUUUUAGGAUGACUUGAAAGUAGGGCAUCCUUGGCCUUCCGGAAGAGAGUAAAUUCACGGCACGUGGACAGUCUGUAUGGCGUUCUCAGGUAAAUGUCCCUAUUAAUUCCAACACUGACUACUGCCUAUGUGGCAGGCCUAUUUGCUAGUUGGUAUCCGUUAGGAAACAACUGGGAGGCAAAAUCACCUGUAUUUGCCCCUGACAAAUUCGGCCUCUUAGCAGUGAAAGGCUAUUUUGGUGGUUCUAGUCUGAAGGUGUAUAGGAUCUUUGAGAUGAUCUGUAUCAUUCCAUCUGAGGAAUGUACAAGCAGAUUAUAAAGCCCAGGAUAGGAAGGAUGGCAUAUCUUGCCUAUUGGCAGCUAGAUCCCAAUCAUGGCACCUGGCACAUAGCAGGAACUCCUUGAAUGUUGGACAAAAUGACUAAAAGCAUGGGAAAGGGGUUCCUGUUUCCUAUUUGUCUAAAAGGCUUGGCAGCAAGGUCUGCUAUCAGUGCUUCCAGGCUUCUGUUUUGCAGUCAACAUUGAAUUCAUUGGGAUACCUGUAUCCAUAACUUCUACUUGGGGUGCCUGGGUAUCUGAAACAAAGAAAGCUGUUUCAGGAAUCAUCCAGCAGUUGUCAGCUAUCCAGGCCAGCAUGAUGCCUUGGAUGGUGUUACACUGUUGGAAGAGCAAACGCUGACCUUCUUGAGGUCUGGCUUCAAGCACUGUUUUGGUGUUGUGGCUGAUACUCUUGGGCAGUGUUUUGCACCUCUGAGAGUGGAGUAACUCCUCCUGUGGAGUUGGUCCUAGUCUGGGUGCAAACAAUUUUUUUUUCUUUGAGGAAAGGACCCUGUCUUAAGGAUACUUUAUCAUUCCUUUCCUCUUUGAAUCCUAGAUGCCUUUAUCUGAGUGAGAAAUCUGCCUCCAUCAGAAUCUCAGAUGUCUGACAGCCCUGUGUGACACCAGGAUAGGUAAUAUAUACAGUCCUUUGUCAUGUAGGUUCUAAUUAACUUUCAGCCUCAGAUGGGUGGUGUGAAAUAAUACAAAAUAUAUAUAUUGGCCUCUGCUCCCAUUCUUGGCACAGAGCUGCUAAAACUCUUGAAAUUCCCUAAGUGGUAAGAACACUAGGAGCAUCUUUUGUUCUAAUAUUUGGUUUUUCAUGCUGAUGCCUGACUGAGCUCUUAAAUCUAAGAAUUUCCUGGGUGAUUUAAAUGUCUUGUUCUAAUGAGGUGGUAACUAGAAAGACCAAGCACUGAUUAGAAACUUGGAAUUUUCAACCCCACUUCCAUUCUUCAGAAAGGGGAAAGGGGCUGGAAAUGGAAAUAAUUGAUUAUUCCCACAUGAUGAAGCCUCCAUAAAAAUCCCAGUAGUAUUGGGUUUAGAGAACUUUCAUGUUGGUGAACACAUGGAGGGAAGGUGCUGGGAGAGUAGCACAUCCAGAGAGGGUAUGGAAGCUCAGCAACCCUUUCCACAUAGCCUUGCCCUAUUCAUGUCCCAUCUGGAUGUUUAUAUCCUUUCCCAUAUCCUUUAAAAAAAUUUUUUUUAAUAUAUUUUUAAAUAUUUAUUUAUUUUAGAGAAAGAGAGUGCAAGCCGGGGAAGGACAGAUGAUCCAAAGUGGGCUCUGCAUGGACAGGAGAGAGCUCAGUGCGGGGCUUGAACUCAUGAACUGCGAGAUCAUGACCUGAGCUGAAGUCAGACACUUAACCGACUGAGCCACUCCAGCGCCCCUACCAUAUCCUUUUAAAAUAAAUUGGUAAAUUGUAAGGAAACCGUUUUCCUGAGUUCUGAGAGCUUUUGCAAAUUUAUCAAACCUGAGGAGGGGAUUUGGGGAAUCUGUGAUUUAUAUUGGUCAGAAGUACAGGUAACAACCUGGACUUAACGAUUGGCAUCUGAAGUGAGGGAGGAACAGUCUUAUUGGACUGUGCCCUUAACCUGAGGGAUCUGAUGAUACUCGAGGUAUAUGGAGAGUCAGAAUUAGGCUAAAAUGUACGACACCCAGCUGGUGACACAAAUUUGCUUGGUGUGGGAGAAAAUCCACACACAUCCAGUGUCAAAAAUGUUGAGAGAGUGGUAGUAGUGUGAGAGUAAAGGAAAAAUACAAAGUUAGGUUUUCUUGGGGCACCUGGCUGGUUCACUAGGUAGGGCAUGUAACUCUUGAUCUCAGGGUCAUGAGUUUAAGCCUCAUGUUGGGUAUAGAGCUUAAUUUACACACAGAAAAAUCUUCUAAAAAGUAAGGUUUUCUUUACAGGUGGAAAAAUUUACAAGUUCUAAAAAAUUAUAGGAAAUAUGAGAACAUUACAGAAGAAUACUAAAUCAAAAGUUCAAGGCUUAAACUAAGCUCUUAUUUUCUAGAGCUCUGCAGUACAAUACAUGAGGCUAUUUCAACUGACAAAAAUUGAAUCUGUUUUUCCAUCUCAGUAUUUAGUGACUGCCGUAUUGGACAGCUCAGAGAACAUUUCCACCUGUGUGGAAAGUUUUAUUAUACACUGCUGUUCUAGGGCAGGGGUUGGUAAACUUGUAAAAGGCCAAAUAAUAUUUUAGACUUGUGUACCAUAUAGUCUCUCUUAUAACUACUCUCAAUUCUGCAGUUGCAGUAUGAAAGCAGCCAUAGUCAUAGAAAGUGUCAAUAAAUGAGCAUUACUUUGCCCCAGUAAAACUUUAUAUUUUUUAAAUUUUAUUUAUUUUGAGAGCAAACAAGCAGGGGAAGGGCAGAGAGAUGGGGAGAGAGAAUUCCAAGCAAGCUCUGCGCUGUCAGCCCCAGAGCUUUAAGUGGGGCUCAAUCUCAGGAGCCAUGAGAUCAUGACCCUGAGCUGAAAUCAAGAGUCGGAUGCUUAACUGAGCCACCCAGGUGCCCCCAAUAAAACUUUAUUAAUAGACCAUGAAAUUGGAAUUUUGUAAAAUUUUCACUGUUACAACAAAAAAUUUUCCACCAAUCAUUCUAAGCUUGAGAGCCUUUCGAAAACAGAUUGGCAGGCCAAAACUGGCCUGUGAACUGGAGUUUGCCAACCCCUGGUCUAGAAAAUAAAAUUCAGGCCUUGGGAAUUGAUAGCUCAUUAGUAACAGGCUGAAGCUAGUACCAACAUGUCUCUGAAAAAUUCCAUGUUACCAAUACCUUUGCCUUAUAGCAAGCCUUUAUCAUAUGGUAUUAAAUACCUUUUAUUAUUUUUAAAUGUUUAUUUUGAGAAAGACAGCAAGAGCACAAGCAUGAGUGGAGGAGGGGCAGAGAGAGGGAGAGAGAAUCCCAAGCAGACUCCUCCUUGUCAGCAUGCAGCCUGACCAGAGGCUCCAUCCCAUGAACAAUGAUAUCAUGACCUGAGCCAAAAUCAGCAAUCAGGCACUUUAGAGGAGUAAAAUGACUUUAGUAAAUUAUCCAAAUAGAAUGGUUCUCAUUUUUUGUAUUUGGAGUUCGUUGUGUAUACUUUUUACAUGGCUUACUUUUGUCAUAGCAGUUCUCUUCAUUUUUAAUGUACACCUAAAGGAAAGGUCCUAAGAAAGAACACGAGUCUUCAGUUUGCAGCAGAGCCUGAUCACAGUUUCAGCCCUUGGUAGUGAAACAAAUGGUCCCGAAAAAAAGAGGAAAACUUUAUGUCAUGAAGUCAGAGUUUAAAAUCUGGGAUCACUGGGUUCUUGGGUAGCUCAGUCGAUUGAACUUCUGACUCUUGAUUUAGGCUCAGGUUAUGAUCCCAAGAUUGUGAGAUCAAGCCCGGUGUUGGGCUCCACAUUGAGUGUGGAUCCUGCUUAAGAUUUUCUCUUUUUUGGGGCACCUGGGUGUCUCAGUCAGUUAAGCGUCUGACUCUUGAUUUGGGCUCAGGUCAUGAUCUCACAGUUCAUGGGAUCAAGCCCUGCUUGGGAUUGUCUCCCUCUCAAAUAAACUUUAAAAAAAAUUCCCCCCCCCACCUCAAAAAUACAAAAAAAAAUAAUCAGGGCACCUGGGUGGCUCAGUCGGUUAAGCAUCUGACUUUGGCUCAGGUCAUGAUCUCAUCAUGCUUCAUGGUUCUAGCCCUGCAUCUAACUCUGUGCUGACAGCCUGGAGCCUCUUUGGAUUCUGUGUCUCCUCUCUCCACUCCUCUCUUGCUCAAGCUCUGUCUCUCUAAAAAAUAAAGAUUUAAAAAAAAAUUUUUAAAUACAAAAAAAUUAAAAUAUAGAACAUUAAGUAAAUAGAUAAAUAAGUUAAUUAAUUUUAAAAAUCUGGGAUCACAAGCUCCUGUGAGCAUACAGAUUGCCUUCCUGACCACUGUAAGUCUACCCAGGUGCAGAGAGGGGGCCCCUUUGUUGCUACUUGAAGGAUAAUUCAUUGAAGUCAGUGACUGUAUUCAAUACCCCAGGAGGUUUCAGUGGCUUAAUCAUGCCCAUUAAAGUAAUAUAAUGGGAUUUCCUAGUUGAUGAGUGAAGUUAAUUAGUCACCUACUACUCCCUGUUGAGUUGAUUUUUUUUUUUUUUAAUUUCCUGGUAAGGAAAGAAAAGAUGAAGUAAAACAUUUCAAAGGACCUUUUUAACCCUGAGCUGCCACCUCUUGUCAUAGGAAGCAGUUAGUAGACACAGUGUCCCUCUUCAUUGCUCUGCUUCAGUUUCAAGCCUCAGACCUGUACCAUAUCAAGAGGAAAAACUAACAGGAUGGGUAGGGGGCUGAAAGUAUUGAGUGCCAUUCCUGGUGCCUAUCAAUAAUUUACUUCCUUUCCUUCAGGGUUGAAACUGCUGUCAACAGACUUUUGAAUUAAAAUUUUGGAUCACCUCUCAAAAUUUUAAUCAGGAAAAUAAAACCCUGGAGAAAUAAAUUCUGCAGGCCCCAAAGGAACAUAAAAAUGUGGAUCGGUGCCUAGGAAUUCACACAAAAGAAAACAAUUGGGGACGAGCAACUAAUUAAGUACUUAAAAGAAUGACAAUGACUUCUUGAAUCUUGUUGCUUAAUUAGGGUUUUAUGAACAGCUCCAGUUAAUGGACCUGUCAAUAUUCUCUUGGAAAACAAUUUCACUGAAUUAACAAAUCAAUGGUAAUACUUAGAAUGUCUGCUUAGCAAUUCUCUUUAUGCUAUUUAGAAGGCCUGUUACUUUGGCCCUCCUGUACUCCAAUAAAGGGCCUUUAGAAUAUGAGAACAUUCUGUACUCCUUGUUAAGGGUGACUUUACUACUACCUCAAAAAAGGCUGAUAAAAUGGACCUUAAAAUAGAUUAUAGAAAAGUUGUAGAUUUACAGGAAAGUUGUAAACAUAGUACAAAGAAUUCCCAUGUACUCCACAACCCAGUUUCCUUUCAUAAGAACAUUUUACAUUAGUAUAGACAUUUGUUACAAUUAAUGGGCUAAUAUGAAUAUGUUGUUAACUAAAGUCCAUACUUGCAGAUUUCCUUAGGUUUUACUUAAAUGUCUUUUGUCUGUUCUAGAAUCCCAUUGAGGAUAUUACAUUUAGUUCUUGUAUCUCCUUAGGCUCAUUUUAUUUUUAUUUUUAAUAUUUUAAUGUUUAUUUAUUUUUGAGAGAGAGCAUGAGCAGGGAAGGGAAUGCUCUAGUUCUCAGAUGAUUUGAUUACCCUAUGAGCUCACAGCAAAGGAUGGCAAUUUUUAUCAGAUGCCUGUAGAAGGGAGUAGCCAAGCCCAGACAGGUCCUAGAAUCAUAAUGGGUUAGAGUGUGGAGAUUCCCUCAAGGCAUAAAGCCUCUGAGUUAUAAUCUGGAAAAUUUAAGUCCUACCUUCUACUACCUCUACACUCCUGGCACUCUGUCCUUUUCUACACUAGGGUUCCAUUUCUUGCCCCUGUAUAAUAGGACCUAAUCAUGAUCUAUUCCUCCAAGGAAUCUUUAUAUUUAGUUUCUCAGAUCCCUAACUUCUUUCUUCUGUAAUCUCCAGGGCUGAGUUAGAGGAAGAGAAUGACAUAUGCUAACCACACAUCUUGUCAGAAGACUAUUUAACCCACCCUUUUUAUGAGUUUAGAGGCUUUAUUAACUGAACUCCUAGACACUGGGGAUAACCGAUGAACAAGACUUAGUCCCUGCUUACCUUAACAUGGCCUAUCAGGGCAUACACAGUCUAACCCUUACCCCUCUUAUCUUCAUCUUUACCACCCUCAGAUUCCCUUCAGGCCACACUGAUUUCUUUCAGUCCUUGAUAAGCCUUUUGCUACUAGGUCUCUGUGCUUGGUAUUUCCCCUUCUGGUUCCAUCUUUUUUUCCACUUUGUCUCCUUUGAGAUCUCAGCUCAUAUCAUGUGUAGAGAAGCCACCUUCCCUGGGUAUCUGAGUAACCAUUACAUGUGUCAUUGCACCUGGCCUACCACAGAGCUAGACAGUCAGAUGCCAUGUGUCCUUUGAAAGGUAUUAUUCACACCAGCUUCUGUGGGUUUACAUAAUUCCCAUAGAGCCAAGCAGCCUCAAUUGUACUGACAACUAAGGACCUUCAGCUAGCUGAUAAAUACUACCUAUGCGUCAAAAUGUAUCAAAAAUAUAGUAAUGCUAUAGGCCCAUCUAUCCUGCUUUUCAAUAAUUUGCCAGUAAUUGAGAGUAUGGACAGCACUGGUUUUAUUCUUUAAUAGUUUGAAACAAAAAUACCAUGAAAACAAAGAUGUCCAAUUUCCAAAGCAUUUUCUAGUGGACUCUGAAGGUGUAACCUACUGCACAACUAUUUAAAACUAAAUUAAAUUUCAGGGGCGCCUGGGUGGCUCAGUCGGUUGAGCAUCCUACCUCGGCUCAGGUCAUGAUCUCACGGUCCGUGAGUUUGAGCCCUGCGUCAGGCUCUGGGCUGACAGCUCGGAACCUGGAGCCUGCUUCAGAUUUUGUCUCCCUCUCUCUGACUCUCCCCCGUUCAUGCUCUGUCUCAAAAAUAAAACAUUAAAAAAAAUUUUUAACUAAAUUAAAUUUCAAAAAGUAUUGAAUGAAAAUAAUGGAUUUGCAGAGGAUUUGUUCCAAUUUGAAACAUGCGUUAACUGAAAUAUAUGUGUCGCCUUUUGUUACUUUUUUUGGUAAUCUAUAAAUGUCUUCAUAAUUAAAGUGUGUGAAACAGCUUUGUGUGUAAAUUAUAACUAGAAGAACUUCUCUUACUAGCAAUCCUUACACUAACAAGUAGGUGCCAGCUUAAAACUUAUGACCAGACUUAAAUGGAUAAUUUUAACAAGUGUACUCUGGGGUUUUAUAAAAAUAAAUAACCUUUGAAUCUAUGGUUUUGUCAUUUUAGGAUAUUCAUGUAAAUAUACUGCGGCACAUGUGGUGCUCUACAACGACAACAUUGCAUGUUGAUCAUGUGCCAGAAUUGCUAAACUCAUUCUACAU
rnacentral:lncRNA from 1 species